rnacentral:rRNA from 1 species
GGGACACGUGGUAUCCUGUCUGAAUAUGGGGGGACCAUCCUCCAAGGCUAAAUACUCCUGACUGACCGAUAGUGAACCAGUACCGUGAGGGAAAGGCGAAAAGAACCCCGGCGAGGGGAGUGAAAAAGAACCUGAAACCGUGUACGUACAAGCAGUGGGAGCACGCUUAGGCGUGUGACUGCGUACCUUUUGUAUAAUGGGUCAGCGACUUAUAUUCUGUAGCAAGGUUAACCGAAUAGGGGAGCCGAAGGGAAACCGAGUCUUAACUGGGCGUUAAGUUGCAGGGUAUAGACCCGAAACCCGGUGAUCUAGCCAUGGGCAGGUUGAAGGUUGGGUAACACUAACUGGAGGACCGAACCGACUAAUGUUGAAAAAUUAGCGGAUGACUUGUGGCUGGGGGUGAAAGGCCAAUCAAACCGGGAGAUAGCUGGUUCUCCCCGAAAGCUAUUUAGGUAGCGCCUCGUGAAUUCAUCUCCGGGGGUAGAGCACUGUUUCGGCAAGGGGGUCAUCCCGACUUACCAACCCGAUGCAAACUGCGAAUACCGGAGAAUGUUAUCACGGGAGACACACGGCGGGUGCUAACGUCCGUCGUGAAGAGGGAAACAACCCAGACCGCCAGCUAAGGUCCCAAAGUCAUGGUUAAGUGGGAAACGAUGUGGGAAGGCCCAGACAGCCAGGAUGUUGGCUUAGAAGCAGCCAUCAUUUAAAGAAAGCGUAAUAGCUCACUGGUCGAGUCGGCCUGCGCGGAAGAUGUAACGGGGCUAAACCAUGCACCGAAGCUGCGGCAGCGACGCUUAUGCGUUGUUGGGUAGGGGAGCGUUCUGUAAGCCUGUGAAGGUGUGCUGUGAGGCAUGCUGGAGGUAUCAGAAGUGCGAAUGCUGACAUAAGUAACGAUAAAGCGGGUGAAAAGCCCGCUCGCCGGAAGACCAAGGGUUCCUGUCCAACGUUAAUCGGGGCAGGGUGAGUCGACCCCUAAGGCGAGGCCGAAAGGCGUAGUCGAUGGGAAACAGGUUAAUAUUCCUGUACUUGGUGUUACUGCGAAGGGGGGACGGAGAAGGCUAUGUUGGCCGGGCGACGGUUGUCCCGGUUUAAGCGUGUAGGCUGGUUUUCCAGGCAAAUCCGGAAAAUCAAGGCUGAGGCGUGAUGACGAGGCACUACGGUGCUGAAGCAACAAAUGCCCUGCUUCCAGGAAAAGCCUCUAAGCAUCAGGUAACAUCAAAUCGUACCCCAAACCGACACAGGUGGUCAGGUAGAGAAUACCAAGGCGCUUGAGAGAACUCGGGUGAAGGAACUAGGCAAAAUGGUGCCGUAACUUCGGGAGAAGGCACGCUGAUAUGUAGGUGAAGUCCCUCGCGGAUGGAGCUGAAAUCAGUCGAAGAUACCAGCUGGCUGCAACUGUUUAUUAAAAACACAGCACUGUGCAAACACGAAAGUGGACGUAUACGGUGUGACGCCUGCCCGGUGCCGGA